GUGGGUGUCAGCCAAUCACAGCAUAUUCAAUGAUUCCACAUGGAUUGGAGAGUGUUGAAUCAUGAGGAGGCUGGCAAAAGGGCCCUCUCCUCAUGAGGUCUGGUUAAUAUCAGGAAUUAUUGCCUCAAACGCUGCAAGUUCAACCUGGAUCAGAAGCCAAGACCAAUGCUGCACUUGGAAGGGACGACCAAUAGUUCUGUGUUCCUGACCUGUCUUACAGUCUUUCGCUUCUAUCCGCAGUGGACCGUUUGGCUGAUCACAUCACUCUACAGCUGAACUUCUGCCACAUUUGAGCACCCACAUUAGAGACAAAAGUUGGGGAGAUAAUGGAGAGGCAAGACAACAAUAUGGGAUUGGCUGGAAAGAUGACAGACUGCAUAUGUACAUCAAAUAAAUUCCAAACGCAGCCGUCUAUUCCCAAGGUUUGGACAAAACAAAGGAACGAAUGUGGAACAGAAGUUUCAAAGACCUCUACGGAAAGAUCAAGUUCUCGGCGGUAUCAACCUCAUAUGAAAGGGUCUUUUAAAAGGUCAUUUUAUUAAAGCUAUGGAGAAGAAAUAACCUUCGGAAAAGGUGGUUUUUCAUUAGAU
rnacentral:lncRNA from 1 species